rnacentral:lncRNA from 1 species
AGCGACCCCAUCCGCCACACAAGCAGCGACCCCAUCCGCCACCCCAGCAGCGACCCCAUCCGCCUCCUCUGAGGCUCCCAAGUCCUCGGCUUCAUCAACCUCUCCGUCCUCCGCCCCCACCACCUCCUCCUCCUCCUCCCCAUCCAGCUAUCCAUCAUCCGACUCUCCACCCUCACCACCCACCUCCACUCCCGCCUCCGGCCCAUCCUCCGACGUCACCUCUUCUGCUCCUACCGAGUCGACUACGUCUGCUGAGGCUCCCGCCCCAUCUGGUGCAGCCGUGAACAGAGGCUUCUCUGCCGGUUCCGUGGUCGCCGUCGUCAUCGCGGCGUCGUUUUUGGCCUAGAUGUGUUUUGCGGACGAGGCCUUUAUCCGCUGGUUCGGUCACCGAGAGAGAGAUGCAGCAGGCGGAUCUUGAGUUUCGUAUAUUAGCGGGUAGAAUUUAACUACUAUUUUUGGUUUUUUAGUUUUUUUCAAUAAGGUGGGUUAUUAUUGGUGAUGGAGAUAUUAUUUGGACGGUGUUGAUUUGAUCGGACGGUGGUUCUACGGCAGAUGAUUACUCCAUCGGCCUUAAUUAUUAAUUAUAAUUAUUAUUAUUAACUUCAUCAUUACUGUUGCUAAUGAUGAUGACUAUGGAGAUUCUUUUGUUAUGAUCUAAUGAUAUAUAUUAAUUAUAUUUAAUUCGUUGAGUUUAAUAUGUUUGAUUUAAGCAUGGUUGUGUUUCUUUCUUUGUUUAAGGACUCUCUGCGCCGUUUAAUUAACUCAUUUUAUGUGAGUAGUGACCUUAAUUAUUAAUUCGA